AGGACGAACGCUGGCGGCGUGCUUAACACAUGCAAGUCGAGGGCACUUUGGGGGCAACUCUGGAGUGACCGGCGAACGGGUGCGUAACACGUGAGCGACCUUGCCUCGUGGUGGGGGAUAGCCGGCCCAACGGCCGGGUAAUACCGCAUAGGGUGGUCUUUCGCAUGGAGAGACUAGCAAAGCCCUGGAGCAAUCCAGUGGCGCCACAGGGGGGCUCGCGGCCUAUCAGGCUAGUUGGGGGGUAAUGGCCCACCAAGGCGACGACGGGUAGC
rnacentral:rRNA from 1 species